rnacentral:rRNA from 1 species
CUUGGUCAUUUAGAGGAAGUAAAAGUCGUAACAAGGUUUCCGUAGCUCAAGUCUACGAAGAACAGUAAUGUUCCUUCCGCAGAGUACACUUGCAGAAGCCUUAGUGGCCUGAAAGGGUUUCAUCAGCGACUCUAAACAAGUAGGUGGAUUAAACGCUAGUCUCUUUCAAAGAGGCGACACUAUCAAAUUGCGGGAAGAUCCUGUCAGGUCCACAUCACCGCGGCUCACCGAAAGGUGUAGUGCAGCACCAGGCUAACAACCUUGGGUAUGGUAAUAGUAUGUGGAAUAGGGAGAAUCUGCAGCCAAGCCCCUCUCUUGGGGUGCAGUUCACAGGCCAAAUGGUAGUGGGCACUCUGGUGCUUAAGAUAUGGUCGAGUCCCAAUUGAAAAAUUGGGUACAAGUACUCUGAUUGAUUACAUACACUCUAUGCUCAGUCAAAUACAGCUAGUUGUAAAUGCAAAUGUUCCGUAGGUGAACCUGC